UUUUCCGGUUGAUCCUGCCGGACCCUACUGCUAUCGGGGUGGGACUAAGACAUGCAAGUCGUGCGUCUCUAAGCCAUGGUAGAGACGCGGCGUACGGCUCAGUAACACGUGGCUAACCUACCCUUAGGACGGAGGCAACCCCGGGAAACUGGGGCUAAUACCCGAUAGGUGAGGAGGCCUGGAAUGGUUCUUCGCUGAAAAGGCGUUGGAACCAUGCUUUUCAACGUCGCCUAAGGAUGGGGCCGCGCCCGAUCAGGUUGUUGGUGGGGUAACGGCUCACCAAGCCUAUAACCGGUACGGGCCGUGAGAGCGGGAGCCCGGAGAUGGGCACUGAGACAAGGGCCCAGGCCCUACGGGGCGCAGCAGUCGCGAAAACUCCGCAAUGCGCGAAAGCGUGACGGGGCUACCCCGAGUGCCGUCCGCUGAGGAUGGCUUUUCCCCGGUGUAAUGAGCCGGGGGAAUAAGGAGAGGGCAAGUCUGGUGUCAGCCGCCGCGGUAAUACCAGCUCUCCGAGUAGUAGGGAUGAUUAUUGGGCUUAAAGCGUCCGUAGCCGGCUUAGCAAGUCUCCUGUUAAAUUCAGCGACCUAAUCGUUGAGCCGCGGGAGAUACUACUAGGCUAGGAGGCGGGAGAGGCUGACGGUAUUCCCGGGGUAGGGGUGAAAUCCUAUAAUCCCGGGAGGACCACCAGUGGCGAAGGCUGUCGGCUAGAACGCGCUCGACGGUGAGGGACGAAAGCUGGGGGAGCGAACCGGAUUAGAUACCCGGGUAGUCCCAGCUGUAAACGAUGCGGGCUAGGUGUUGAGGUGGCUACGAGCCACUUCAGUGCCGCAGGGAAGCCAUUAAGCCCGCCGCCUGGGGAGUACGGCCGCAAGGCUGAAACUUAAAGGAAUUGGCGGGGGAGCACCACAAGGCGUGAAGCUUGCGGUUCAAUUGGAUUCAACGCCGGAA
rnacentral:rRNA from 1 species